GCCUGGCUCGGGCCGGCGAUCGGCCCGCGCCGGUUUGAAGUCGGCGCAGAGGUGAGGGCGGCAUUUAUCGCGGCGGACCCCGACGCCGGGCAGGCU
rnacentral:tRNA from 1 species